GCCUGCUUCAGGGACGGAGCCAUUACA
rnacentral:piRNA from 1 species